AGUAGGACAGGCAAUCGCGGCUGAUGUAAAUCAGGUGAGGAAAGUCCGGGCUUCACAGGGCAGGAUGCCGGAUAACGUCCGGUGGAGGUGACUCCAAGGCCAGUGCAACAGAAAUAAACCGCCAGGAUCUUCCUGGUAAGGGUGGAAAGGCAGUGUAAGAGACUACCGCCCGGCUGGUAACAGACGGGGCACAUGUAAACCCCAUCCGAAGCAAGACCAAGCAGAAGCAUAUGGCGGCCCGUCAGCUUCAGGUAGGUCGCUUGAGCGUACUGGCGACAGUACGCCUAGAUAGAUGAUUGCUCAACGACAUAACCCGGCUUAUCGUCCUGCUUG
rnacentral:RNase_P_RNA from 1 species